GAUGAACGCUAGCUACAGGCUUAACACAUGCAAGUCGAGGGGCAGCGGGUUGAAAGCUUGCUUUCAAUGCCGGCGACCGGCGCACGGGUGCGUAACGCGUAUCAAACCUGCCUCAUACUCGGGGAUAGCCUUGCGAAAGUAAGAUUAAUACCCGAUGUUGUUGCUUUCUCGCAUGGGAGAGAAACCAAAGAUUUAUCGGUAUGAGAUGGUGAUGCGUCCGAUUAGGUAGUAGGCGGGGUAACGGCCCACCUAGCCUUCGAUCGGUAGGGGUUCUGAGAGGAAGGUCCCCCACACUGGAACUGAGACACGGUCCAGACUCCUACGGGAGGCAGCAGUGAGGAAUAUUGGUCAAUGGGCGAGAGCCUGAACCAGCCAAGUAGCGUGCAGGAUGACGGCCCUCCGGGUUGUAAACUGCUUUUAGUUGGGAAUAAAAAAAGGGACUUGUCCCUUCUUGUAUGUACCUUCAGAAAAAGGACCGGCUAAUUCCGUGCCAGCAGCCGCGGUAAUACGGAAGGUCCAGGCGUUAUCCGGAUUUAUUGGGUUUAAAGGGAGCGUAGGCGGAUUGUUAAGUCAGCGGUUAAAGGGUGUGGCUCAACCAUGCAUUGCCGUUGAAACUGGCGAUCUUGAGUGCAGACAGGGAUGCCGGGAUUCGUGGUGUAGCGGUGAAAUGCUUAGAUAUCACGAAGAACUCCGAUCGCGAAGGCAGGUGUCCGGGCUGCAACUGACGCUGAGGCUCGAAAGUGUGGGUAUCAAACAGG
rnacentral:rRNA from 1 species